rnacentral:rRNA from 1 species
GACGAACGCUGGUGGCGUGCUUAACACAUGCAAGUCGAACGGAAAGGCCCUGCUUUUGUGGGGUGCUCGAGUGGCGAACGGGUGAGUAACACGUGAGUAACCUGCCCUUGACUUUGGGAUAACUUCAGGAAACUGGGGCUAAUACCGGAUAGGAGCUCCUGCUGCAUGGUGGGGGUUGGAAAGUUUCGGCGGUUGGGGAUGGACUCGCGGCUUAUCAGCUUGUUGGUGGGGUAGUGGCUUACCAAGGCUUUGACGGGUAGCCGGCCUGAGAGGGUGACCGGCGACAUUGGGACUGAGAUACGGCCCAGACUGCAACGGGAGGCAGCAGUGGGGAAUAUUGCACAAUGGGCGGAAGCCUGAUGCAGCAACGCAGCGUGCGGGAUGACGGCCUUCGGGUUGUAAACCGCUUUAGCCUGUGACGAAGCGUGAGUGACGGUAAUGGGUAAAGAAGCACCGGCUAACUACGUG